AGGCCACUGGGCAUGCGGAAAGCCCACCCCAAGGGAACAAUCAGGGAAGAAGGAACGCAAGACGGUGGAAGCAUGCCAACCUAUUAAACCGCAAGUCAGAGAUCAAACCAUGUACUUGAAUCUCUCAAGUUCCCGGCUUAACCCUCUUCCAAGUAUCCUCAUUUGAAAAUGGAAAAAGAAAAGAAAUGGAGGCAUUGUGUGAUAUUUGCCUAAAUAUAACUAAAGAGAUCCAUUUAUUUUUAGUGUUUGAUUAAAAACCCUCAAAGGAAAAGAGAAAUUUUGAUCUUUGAGAAGAGCUGUUUCAUCACAGGGUGAAGUUGUUUCCUGAGCCCUUUGAUCUGAAAUGACCUUGCGACCUGGAACCAGCAGACAGCCUGAGGGAGGCAGUGCAUGUUCUGAGCCAGGGCCUCAGGAGGCCUGCAGCUGCCAUUCUGCUUCUGUUGGAACAUGACCUCCUUGAGAACACUCCCAGGCCUGACUGCAGGGUGGGGAGACCACACAGAGCAGAGCCGAGCCACCGGGAUGAGGCCCCUAGAUCACCCAGCUCCCAGCUGACCACAGAUCAUGAGUGAUCCCGUUUCUCCCUAGGUCAAGGGUGAUGUUUUGCUCAGAGAAAACUGAAGUUUGGAUUGUUCCAGUCCUGCAUCACAUCCUGUUUCAGGCUGCCCUAAAACAAAACCAGAAACAACCAUCACCACAAAACACCAUACCUUCAAUAGUCUUCUCAGUGUUCAGAAUAAAGGCUCUGGUUUUCCCUUGGGCUCAAUUUUCAUGAUUGUGUCUCCUUUGUCAAUAUGUUUUUCAUCUUCCUCACUUUCAAACUGCACUU
rnacentral:lncRNA from 10 species